AGUCAGACAACUGAAUUCGAACAUGGACAAAAGAUUCAAAGAGGCAUUUCAUAAAAGAAGGUGGUCAAAUGGCUAACAGACACAUGAAAAAGUGCUCGUACUUGUUAAGUCAUCGGGGAAAUGGAAAUUAAAACCACAAUAUAUUACCAGCACAUAUGCACCAGAAUGGCUAAAAUUGAAAAAAAGAAACAAAAAACCACACACACACACACACACACAUCUCUCAAGUGUUGGCAGAAAUGUAAAGCAGCUAGAAAUCUCAUAUGACCACUCUGGACAACUGUUUUGCACUAACUACCAAAGCUCAGCACACGCAACCCAGCAAUCCCACUCGUAGGUGUUUUCCCAGCAGAAAUGCGCAUGAACUGACGUGCACCAAAGACAAGUACAAGACUGUUCCAAAAACAAUUCUCAAAAUAGCCAAAAUCUGGAACUACCCAAACACCCAUCAAUAGUAGAAUGGAUUAAAAAAAAAAGAAAUUGCAGUAUAUCAUACAAUGGCAUUCUAUACAGCAAUGAGAAUGAAUGAUCCUUAAUUACACACGGCAAUAUGAAUGAAUCUCACAAACGUUGUGUAAAGU